UCGAGAGUUAGAGGGAGAAAGAAAAGAAAGGAAAGAGAAGGAAGAGCGUAGAGAAAAUAGUGGAGAAAGAUGAAGAGGACUCUUGUACAAUUAUUUAGUGAGUCUUAGAGGAUCAAGGCUAUGAGUGAGACACCCGAACGAGUACUCAAUCAAAUUAUCUAUCUUAAUCAGGAAUAAGAUAUCAGUGAAAUUAUUCGUUGACGUGGGUCGUAGAAACUCCACAUGUUAUCAGGGUCGGCGGCUGACGUAUUUUGGCAACCUUCUCCUCCUCAUUAUUUUUUGCAUGUAGAUAAUUGUGUAGUAUAUAGAGUGGUGAGAGGGUCCCACUGCAGUUUAGAAUGGUUUGAAAUAUGUAAUUGAUAAGUGUUGGGUUUUGAAAUUGUAUAAUAUGUGCAUUUUAUGUACUUGAGUGUGGAUUGAUUAUUUUAAUUUUGAAUUUACUUAUAGUAAGUGUAUAAGUCAUAAGGGUUGAGGUGUGACAGUUUAGGUGGUAUCAGAGCGGGGAUAGAAUCCUGUUGGGACAUAGUAUUCAUGUAUAUCAUAUGAUACAUAAGCUUUAUUUGCAUUUGUAUUAUCAUGAACAUGCGUCACCGAGGAGAGAAGGGUCAGCCGCCAUGCAUCAUCAAUUAAUUGAAACAUUUCAUAUACAUGUUGCAUCAUAUUGGGAUUUUUGGUACAUGGACCAAUGAUGAGGUAAAGAGGUAGAAGUUUUGAAGUGCUCGUAAAAGUAGAAGUGUUGAUUUUAUGGGACUAAUCAGAAAGGCUGGGAUAUAGUUAGAGUGAUAGAACCGGUGUUCAAUCAAAUGAGUUAUAUGUAAGAAGAAGGUUUUGAUUAUAGGGUAUCUCUUCUUUGAAGAAAUACUUACUCUUGGUGGGAUACAGUCCCACAAGCUAUGAUACAGCCUUUGGUAUUCUGGUAUUCAGUUCAGACGAUUUUUCUAGAGAACUCAAUGCUAAAUAUAUGCAAAGAAGUGUAUUGUGAUAAGAAGCAGAUAAGGUUUUGUCUUUAAUCAAGGAACUACGUUUGUUGAUUAUGAGCUGACAUUAUUUCAAUAUACACGGUUUUCUAGAGAACGUGUUGCGAGUUAAGUCAAUUGAGCUGCCAGCGGAUAUUGAUUCUCUUGUUCAUACACAAGUUUUGAUAUUAUUAUGGGUAUAGAUUGGUUUUCACUUCA